AGCACGCCGCGUGAGUAAGAAGGUUUCCGGAUCGUAAACUUCUGUUGUUAGAGAAGAACAAGGAUGAGAGUAACUGUUCAUCCCUUGACGGUAUCUAACCAGAAAGCCACGGCUAACUAACGUGCCAGAGCCGCGGUAACA
rnacentral:rRNA from 1 species